AGCGAACGCUGGCGGCAGGCUUAACACAUGCAAGUCGAGCGGGCAUAGCAAUAUGUCAGCGGCAGACGGGUGAGUAACACGCGGGAACGUACCUUUUGGUUAGGAACAACUGCGGGAAACUUCAGCUAAUACCGAAUAAGCCCUGACGGGGAAAGAUUUAUUGCCAAAAGAUCGGCCCGCGUCUGAUUAGCUGGUUGGUAGGGUAAUGGCCUACCAAGGCGACGAUCAGUAGCUGGUCUGAGAGGAUGAUCAGCCACACUGGGACUGAGACACGGCCCAGACUCCUACGGGAGGCAGCAGUGGGGAAUAUUGGACAAUGGGCGCAAGCCUGAUCCAGCCAUGCCGCGUGAGUGAUGAAGGCCCUAGGGUUGUAAAGCUCUUUUAACGGGGAAGAUAACGACGGUACCCGUAGAAUAAGCCCCGGCUAACUUCGUGCCAGCCGCCGCCGUAA
rnacentral:rRNA from 1 species